UUUUCUUCCCAACCCGUGGGUUCUAAGCGAAGCAAGAACUCGUUUCCUUUUUCCUUCAAGCCUCACCAAUGCCUUCUCCUUCUUCCUCUCUUCUUCUUCUUUCAUCUUCCAACUCAAGAAAAACUAAAAUUCUCUCCAUUAUUCAAGCCGUGCGACCUCCAAGGGAAAGAAAGAAAUUGUUUUCUCCUUUCCCAAACCAUGCCAUACACUCAUUCUAUACCCAUUUCGGGCUGUUCAUAGUUCGGAAUUCGAAAUUUGUUUUCAUCUUCUAAAAGGCGAAAAAUUGAAGGACCUAUGUUUACUUUGGAAGUAUUGAGGAGUAUCAAGAUUGCAAUGCUGGGUAAGUAGUACUGGUGGUGCACCCAGUGCUGCACCCUGAUGGAAAAGGAUUCCUAACUCGCGGACACGGGUGGAAUCAGGUUCAAAAGACCACUAACCCCAACACAUGGGGCGCAAUAGU